rnacentral:rRNA from 1 species
CCUACGGGAGGCAGCAGUGAGGAAUAUUGGUCAAUGGGCGCGAGCCUGAACCAGCAAAGCCGCGUGAGGGAUGACGGCCCUACGGGCUGUAAACCUCUUCUGCCGGGGAGCAACGGGCGCCACGUGUGGCGCCACUGAGAGUACCCGGAGACAACGCAUCGGCUAACUCGGUGCCAGCAGCCGCGGUAAUCCGGAGGAUGCGGGGGUUAUCCGGAUUUAUUGGGUUAAAAGGGUGCGUAAGCGGAACGUUCAGUCAGUGGUCAAAUUGAGGGGCUCAACCCCUUCCCGCCAUUGAAACUGGCGCUCUUGAGUAGAAGAGAAGUAUGCGGAAUGCGUGGUGUAGCGGUGAAAUGCAUAGAUAUCACGCAGAACCCCGGUUGCGAAGGCAGCAUGCCGGCUUCCGACUGACGCUGAAGCACGAAGGCGUGGGGAUCGAACAGGAUUAGAUACCCUGGUAGUC